CCUACGGGUGGCAGCAGUGAGGAAUAUUGGUCAAUGGACGAGAGUCUGAACCAGCCAAGUAGCGUGAAGGAUGACUGCCCUAUGGGUUGUAAACUUCUUUUAUAUAGGAAUAAAAUGUUCCACGUGUGGGAUUUUGUAUGUACCAUAUGAAUAAGGAUCGGCUAACUCCGUGCCAGCAGCCGCGGUAAUACGGAGGAUCCGAGCGUUAUCCGGAUUUAUUGGGUUUAAAGGGAGCGUAGGUGGAUUGUUAAGUCAGUUGUGAAAGUUUGCGGCUCAACCGUAAAAUUGCAGUUGAAACUGGCAGUCUUGAGUACAGUAGAGGUGGGCGGAAUUCGUGGUGUAGCGGUGAAAUGCUUAGAUAUCACGAAGAACUCCGAUUGCGAAGGCAGUUCACUGGACUGCAACUGACACUGAGGCUCGAAAGUGUGGGUAUCAAACAGGAUUAGAUACCCUUGUAGUC
rnacentral:rRNA from 1 species